UUAAGCGACUAAGCGUACACGGUGGAUGCCCUGGCAGUCAGAGGCGAUGAAGGACGUGCUAAUCUGCGAUAAGCGUCGGUGAGGUGAUAUGAACCGUUAUAACCGGCGAUUUCCGAAUGGGGAAACCCAGUGUGUUUCGACACACUAUCAUUAACUGAAUCCAUAGGUUAAUGAGGCGAACCGGGGGAACUGAAACAUCUAAGUACCCCGAGGAAAAGAAAUCAACCGAGAUUCCCCCAGUAGCGGCGAGCGAACGGGGAGGAGCCCAGAGCCUGAAUCAGUGUGUGUGUUAGUGGAAGCGUCUGGAAAGGCGCGCGAUACAGGGUGACAGCCCCGUACACAAAAAUGCACAUAUUGUGAGCUCGAUGAGUAGGGCGGGACACGUGGUAUCCUGUCUGAAUAUGGGGGGACCAUCCUCCAAGGCUAAAUACUCCUGACUGACCGAUAGUGAACCAGUACCGUGAGGGAAAGGCGAAAAGAACCCCGGCGAGGGGAGUGAAAAAGAACCUGAAACCGUGUACGUACAAGCAGUGGGAGCCUCUUUAUGGGGUGACUGCGUACCUUUUGUAUAAUGGGUCAGCGACUUAUAUUCUGUAGCAAGGUUAACCGAAUAGGGGAGCCGAAGGGAAACCGAGUCUUAACUGGGCGUUAAGUUGCAGGGUAUAGACCCGAAACCCGGUGAUCUAGCCAUGGGCAGGUUGAAGGUUGGGUAACACUAACUGGAGGACCGAACCGACUAAUGUUGAAAAAUUAGCGGAUGACUUGUGGCUGGGGGUGAAAGGCCAAUCAAACCGGGAGAUAGCUGGUUCUCCCCGAAAGCUAUUUAGGUAGCGCCUCGUGAAUUCAUCUCCGGGGGUAGAGCACUGUUUCGGCAAGGGGGUCAUCCCGACUUACCAACCCGAUGCAAACUGCGAAUACCGGAGAAUGUUAUCACGGGAGACACACGGCGGGUGCUAACGUCCGUCGUGAAGAGGGAAACAACCCAGACCGCCAGCUAAGGUCCCAAAGUCAUGGUUAAGUGGGAAACGAUGUGGGAAGGCCCAGACAGCCAGGAUGUUGGCUUAGAAGCAGCCAUCAUUUAAAGAAAGCGUAAUAGCUCACUGGUCGAGUCGGCCUGCGCGGAAGAUGUAACGGGGCUAAACCAUGCACCGAAGCUGCGGCAGCGACACUAUGUGUUGUUGGGUAGGGGAGCGUUCUGUAAGCCUGUGAAGGUGGCCUGUGAGGGUUGCUGGAGGUAUCAGAAGUGCGAAUGCUGACAUAAGUAACGAUAAAGCGGGUGAAAAGCCCGCUCGCCGGAAGACCAAGGGUUCCUGUCCAACGUUAAUCGGGGCAGGGUGAGUCGACCCCUAAGGCGAGGCCGAAAGGCGUAGUCGAUGGGAAACAGGUUAAUAUUCCUGUACUUGGUGUUACUGCGAAGGGGGGACGGAGAAGGCUAUGUUGGCCGGGCGACGGUUGUCCCGGUUUAAGCGUGUAGGCUGGUUUUCCAGGCAAAUCCGGAAAACCAAGGCUGAGGCGUGAUGACGAGGCACUACGGUGCUGAAGCGACAAAUGCCCUGCUUCCAGGAAAAGCCUCUAAGCAUCAGGUAACAUCAAAUCGUACCCCAAACCGACACAGGUGGUCAGGUAGAGAAUACCAAGGCGCUUGAGAGAACUCGGGUGAAGGAACUAGGCAAAAUGGUGCCGUAACUUCGGGAGAAGGCACGCUGAUAUGUAGGUGAAGCGACUUGCUCGUGGAGCUGAAAUCAGUCGAAGAUACCAGCUGGCUGCAACUGUUUAUUAAAAACACAGCACUGUGCAAACACGAAAGUGGACGUAUACGGUGUGACGCCUGCCCGGUGCCGGAAGGUUAAUUGAUGGGGUUAGCGGUAACGCGAAGCUCUUGAUCGAAGCCCCGGUAAACGGCGGCCGUAACUAUAACGGUCCUAAGGUAGCGAAAUUCCUUGUCGGGUAAGUUCCGACCUGCACGAAUGGCGUAAUGAUGGCCAGGCUGUCUCCACCCGAGACUCAGUGAAAUUGAACUCGCUGUGAAGAUGCAGUGUACCCGCGGCAAGACGGAAAGACCCCGUGAACCUUUACUAUAGCUUGACACUGAACAUUGAGCCUUGAUGUGUAGGAUAGGUGGGAGGCUUUGAAGUGUGGACGCCAGUCUGCAUGGAGCCGACCUUGAAAUACCACCCUUUAAUGUUUGAUGUUCUAACGUUGGCCCGUAAUCCGGGUUGCGGACAGUGUCUGGUGGGUAGUUUGACUGGGGCGGUCUCCUCCUAAAGAGUAACGGAGGAGCACGAAGGUUGGCUAAUCCUGGUCGGACAUCAGGAGGUUAGUGCAAUGGCAUAAGCCAGCUUGACUGCGAGCGUGACGGCGCGAGCAGGUGCGAAAGCAGGUCAUAGUGAUCCGGUGGUUCUGAAUGGAAGGGCCAUCGCUCAACGGAUAAAAGGUACUCCGGGGAUAACAGGCUGAUACCGCCCAAGAGUUCAUAUCGACGGCGGUGUUUGGCACCUCGAUGUCGGCUCAUCACAUCCUGGGGCUGAAGUAGGUCCCAAGGGUAUGGCUGUUCGCCAUUUAAAGUGGUACGCGAGCUGGGUUUAGAACGUCGUGAGACAGUUCGGUCCCUAUCUGCCGUGGGCGCUGGAGAACUGAGGGGGGCUGCUCCUAGUACGAGAGGACCGGAGUGGACGCAUCACUGGUGUUUGGGUUGUCAUGCCAAUGGCACUGCCCGGUAGCUAAAUGCGGAAGAGAUAAGUGCUGAAAGCAUCUAAGCACGAAACUUGCCCCGAGAUGAGUUCUCCCUGACUCCUUGAGAGUCCUGAAGGAACGUUGAAGACGACGACGUUGAUAGGCCGGGUGUGUAAGCGCAGCGAUGCGUUGAGCUAACCGGUACUAAUGAACCGUGAGGCUUAACCUU
rnacentral:rRNA from 2 species